rnacentral:rRNA from 1 species
AGAGUUUGAUCAUGGCUCAGAACGAACGCUGGCGGCGUGGCUAAGACAUGCAAGUCGAACGAGCUAGGCAAUUGAGUAAUCGAGCGCCUAGUUAGUGGCGAAAGGGUUAGUAACGGCUAGGUAACGUACCCUGUACUUCGGGAUAGCGUCUGAGUGCUUGCACUCUUCCGAAAGGGGCAUUAAUACCGAAUGAUAUCCCCCGUCGAUGGGCGGGGGAUCAAAGAUUCAUCGGUGCAGGAGCGGCCUAGUUCCUAUCAGCUAGUUGGUGGGGUAAUGGCUCACCAAGGCGAUGACGGGUAGCGGGACUGAGAGGUUGGCCCGCAACAUCGGGACUGAGACACUGCCCGGACCUCCACGGAGGGCUGCAGUAACGAAUAUUGGGCAAUGAGCGAAAGCUUGACCCAGCGACGCCGCGUGUAGGAGGAAGUCCUUCGGGAUGUAAACUACUGUCAGGGGGAAGAAAGUGCGUUUCGGCGCAUUGAUCUAACCCAGAGGAAGUCACGGCUAACUUCGUGCCAGCAGCCGCGGUAAGACGAAGGUGGCAAGCGUUGUUCGGAAUCACUGGGCUUAAAGCGUGUGUAGGCGGAAGUGUAAGCGUUUUGUGAAAUCCCUCGGCUUAACCGAGGAAUUGCUUGACGAACUGCGCUUCUUGAGGCAGGUAGGGGUGCGAGGAACUCUUGGUGGAGCGGUGGAAUGCGUAGAUAUCAAGAGGAACGCCGGUGGAGAAGUCGUUGCACUGGGCCUGUCCUGACGCUGAGACACGAAAGCGUGGGGAGCGAACGGGAUUAGAUACCCUAGUAGUCC